rnacentral:rRNA from 1 species
GAUGAACGCUGGCGGCGUGCCUAAUACAUGCAAGUCGAGCGAACAGAUGAGGAGCUUGCUCCUCUGACGUUAGCGGCGGACGGGUGAGUAACACGUGGAUAACCUACCUAUAAGACUGGGAUAACUUCGGGAAACCGGAGCUAAUACCGGAUAAUAUAUUGAACCGCAUGGUUCAAUAGUGAAAGACGGUUUUGCUGUCACGUAUAGAUGGAUCCGCGCCGCAUUAGCUAGUUGGUAAGGUAACGGCUUACCAAGGCAACGAUGCGUAGCCGACCUGAGAGGGUGAUCGGCCACACUAGAACUGAGACACGGUCCAGACUCCUACGGGAGGCAGCAGUAGGGAAUCUUCCGCAAUGGGCGAAAGCCUGACGGAGCAACGCCACGUGAGUGAUGAAGGUCUUCGGAUCGUAAAACUCUGUUAUUAGGGAAGAACAAAUGUGUAAGUAACUAUGCACGUCUUGACGGUACCUAAUCAGAAAGCCACGGCUAACUCCGUG